rnacentral:tRNA from 1 species
GAGGGUAUAACUCAGUGGUCGAGCACAUGCUUAGCAUGCACGAGGUCCUGGGUUGAAUCCCCAGUACCUCUG